rnacentral:snRNA from 1 species
AGCUUUGCGCAGUGGCAGUAUCGUAGCCAAUGAGGUUUAUCCGAGGCGCGAUUAUUGCUAAUAGAAUGGACAAAAUCCAGAACAAUAGCAACACCAAAUGCUGAUGAGGAUGUGGAGCAACAGGACCUCCUAUUCAUUGCUGGUGGGAAUGCAAACUAGUACAGUCACUUUGGAAGACAGUUUUGCAGUUUUUUACAAAA